AACGUAGGACGCAAGCGUUAUCCGGAGUUACUGGGCGUAAAGCGCGCGUAGGCGGUUCGGUAAGUCGGGUGUGAAAACACGAGGCUCAACCUCGUGCGUGCAUCCGAUACUGCCGGACUAGAGGUAGGUAGGGGAGAUCGGAAUUCCUGGUGUAGCGGUGAAAUGCGCAGAUAUCAGGAGGAACACCGGUGGCGAAGGCGGAUCUCUGGGCCUUACCUGACGCUCAGGCGCGAAAGCUAGGGGAGCGAACAGG
rnacentral:rRNA from 1 species